ACAGCAACAAGCUUCGCCAUCGUCUCCGAAGAAAGUUGACGGAAGACAAAAAGCGCCUUCUCCAGGAGAUUGAUAAAUACAACAGUCUUGUUGCAGACCUCUCCAAAAGGAUUGAUGUGGCCUUGGUUGACCACUCUUUGGCUGGACAGAGCACUGGCGCAAUAUGGCCAUGGGAGGACUAUGGCAGUGUAACAAUCGGGGUCAAGAAACGACCAGGAAAUGCUGAAAACACGGCUGGAAGAGGAGCUCCCUAUCCUGGUGUUGGAGAUGGCCCAGCACUGUACGUGGUUGCAGAACCUGGGAGUGGCCCUCAAGACGGAGCUUGCAAGAUACGAAGAUGAAAAUGGACUUCACUGUCUCUUGGCAAGAAGACUUGCGGAAGUGGAAGAACGACAUCAAAUGGUCCUGCAGCGGUAUAAGACUGCUCUAGGUCCAUUGGCCUCUGUCCUCCUUGAUGUUUGUGAGGAAGAGGAAUGUGAUCCGAUGGGCCUGGUCAGUCCAGACACCAGCGAGGAUGAGGAAGAUGCAAGAGAACAAGCAACUUAGUUGAUGGUGUGGUUUCGUGCCUCGCUUGAUGUACACAAAUGAUCAUUGUUAUUGCUAUGUUUAAAAUAAAAAAAUAAAAAAAUCUAUCUCUUCAAUUCAAGAUGGGGUGGGUGAGAAUAAAUAGUGCUAUAACCUCACUAGCCUUAUUGACAUGGACACAUCUGUUCCGCAUAGAUUUCUAUGCACGAGACUUAACGGACACUUUUGUUACUGCCAUGUAUACAGUACAUUCGGAUCACAUUUUAGGAAGAGAUCUAUGACGCAUAGAAAUCUAUGCGGAUCAGAUGUGCCAUGUAAACGCGGAUACUAUGAAUUUCAUUCAUAUAUACAAUUUCAGAAGUGGAUGAGAUUCGAGAAAUAUCUUGUUAUAAUGAGAAAGAAUGUCAAGGUUUGGGGGUUGAUGAAAAACUAUUUUGAACCUUUGUGGUAUGGCAACCCAGUCGCCAAAAGCAUACGUUGACAGUCACUUU
rnacentral:lncRNA from 1 species